UGGGGAAUAUUGCACAAUGGGGGAAACCCUGAUGCAGCGACGCCGCGUGAGCGAUGAAGGCUUUCGAGUCGUAAAGCUCUGUCCUAUGGGAAGAUAAUGACGGUACCAUAGAAGAAAGCCCCGGCUAAUUACGUGCCAGCAGCCGCGGUAAUACGUAAGGGGCGAGCGUUGUCCGGAAUUAUUGGGCGUAAAGAGUGCGUAGGCGGCAAAUUAAGUCAGAUGUGAAAACUAAGGGCUCAACCCAUAGAUUGCAUCUGAAACUGAUAUGCUUGAGUCAAGGAGAGGAAAGUGGAAUUCCUAGUGUAGCGGUGGAAUGCGUAGAGAUUAGGAGGAACACCGGUGGCGAAAGCGGCUUUUUGGCCUGCAACUGACACUGAGGCGCGAAAGCGUGGGGAGCAAACAGG
rnacentral:rRNA from 1 species